GUGGCGAACGGGUGAGUAACACGUGAGUAACCUGCCCUGGACUCUGGGAUAACCCCGAGAAAUCGGAGCUAAUACCGGAUAUGACCUUUCACCGCAUGGUGGGGGGUGGAAAGUUUUUUCGGUCUGGGAUGGACUCGCGGCCUAUCAGCUUGUUGGUGAGGUAAUGGCUCACCAAGGCGUCGACGGGUAGCCGGCCUGAGAGGGUGACCGGCCACACUGGGACUGAGACACGGCCCAGACUCCUACGGGAGGCAGCAGUGGGGAAUAUUGCACAAUGGGCGAAAGCCUGAUGCAGCAACGCCGCGUGCGGGAUGACGGCCUUCGGGUUGUAAACCGCUUUUAGUAAGGAAGAAGGGGAGCUUGCUCCUUGACGGUACUUGCAGAAAAAGGACCGGCUAACUACGUGCCAGCAGCCGCGGUAAUACGUAGGGUCCGAGCGUUGUCCGGAAUUAUUGGGCGUAAAGAGCUCGUAGGCGGUUUGUCGCGUCUGCUGUGAAAUCUGGAGGCUCAACCUCCAGCCUGCAGUGGGUACGGGCAGACUUGAGUGGUGUAGGGGAGACUGGAAUUCCUGGUGUAGCGGUGGAAUGCGCAGAUAUCAGGAGGAACACCGAUGGCGAAGGCAGGUCUCUGGGCACUUACUGACGCUGAGGAGCGAAAGCGUGGGGAGCGAACAGGAUUAGAUACCCUGGUAGUCCACGCCGUAAACGUUGGGCGCUAGAUGUGGGGACCUUUCCACGGUUUCCGUGUCGUAGCUAACGCA
rnacentral:rRNA from 1 species